rnacentral:tRNA from 1 species
AGCAGCGUGGCUCAGUGGAAAGAGCCUGGGCUUUGGAGUCAGAGGUCAUGGGUUCAAAUCCUCGCUCUGCCA